rnacentral:lncRNA from 1 species
CAUCUUACAUUUAUUAUCUUCUCUCAAUGCUUUUUCUACUGUAAUUACAAUGCAAGUUAAUGAAAUCAAUAUCAUAUGGCUCAACCUAAAAAUGUCGAGGAAGAUGGGAGAUGUGAACUUGUCAAUGCAUCUAACACCUCCAGGGGUAUCAUUAGAAUUCAAUAAAUGAUUAUUUUUCUUUAAAAUAACUUACUAAAAAUAGACUACUUGGCUCAAGGUUAAGCACAAUCCAAAAGCUAUUUACAAAUACUGUCGAAUGGACAUCCGGAAAAAUUAAGACCAUUGAGUGGUGAUUGGGUCAUGAGGGCAGAGCUCUUAUGAAUGGAUUAAUGCUAUUAUUGAGAGAGUGGGGGCCCUUGUGCCUCUGAGUUCUGAGAAGCAAACUUCUAAGGAUGGGGAACAAUGAGGUUGGUUCUGACUGUUUUGAGAUAGUGAGGUAAUGCUGAUUCUGCAAGUGCUGGAAAAAAUGCCAGCUAGAUUAAGGUGCUGCUAAAGUGAUAUGGCAGAGCAUAACUGCUGGCCACUACAGACUGAGAGGUCAGGAAAGACAUCACCUCUAU